GUACUUACCACCUUUCUGGCCGAGGCAAGUGCGAUCAUAAAUUCUCGCCCACUUACCGCCGUUUCGUCAGAUCCAGACUCGCCUUUUGUCCUUACCCCAAGCAUUUUGCUUACUCAGAAGACGGAUGUACCGACCGAAGCUGUAUGCGACACAACUGCUAAGGACCUCUUCAAGGUACAGUGGAAGAGAGUACAGCACCUCGCCAAGAUGUUCUGGGACAAAUGGAAGAAGGAAUACCUGCAUACCUUGCAAGCGCGUAAGAAGUGGCAUCAUGGUCAACGUAACAUUAGUGUUGGUGACAUAGUGUUGUUAAAGGAUGUCGAAACCCAUCGCAACAACUGGCCGCUUGGACGCAUUACUGCAACGUUUCCUGGCAAGGACAACUUGGUUCGCAAGGUUGAAGUACGUGUCAGCAAGGACGGCAAGACCACCUCUUACGUCAGACCAGUGACGGAACUCAUUUUAUUAUUGGAGAACUGAAUGUUUUCUGUACUAAAUUGUAUUCAAAUCUUGUGUGAUAUAAUUUUAUAUAUCAGACGGGGAGUGUCAUGUUUCGUGUACAUUUUAUUUUUUGUUACGAAAGAUUUGUCGUACGACUUAAUUUUUUAUGUUGGAAAACCGCGCCAUACUCGAUGUAUGCACAACUCUGAUUCUCUGUAUCGAGGCUUGUAAUCCACAGUCUUUUUACCGUCGUCUGAGACGGUUAUCUGUCUCCCAAAUAAACUGAUUUCACCGACA